GACGAACGCUGGCGGCGUGCUUAACACAUGCAAGUCGAACGGAAAGGCCCUGCUUUUGUGGGGUGCUCGAGUGGCGAACGGGUGAGUAACACGUGAGUAACCUGCCCUUGACUUUGGGAUAACUUCAGGAAACUGGGGCUAAUACCGGAUAGGAGCUCCUGCUGCAUGGUGGGGUUUGGAAAGUUUCGGCGGUUGGGGCUGGACUCGCGGCUUAUCAGCUUGUUUGUGGGGUAGUGGCUUACCAAGGCUUUGACGGGUAGCCGGCCUGAGCGGGUGACCGGCCUCCUUGGGACUGCGGUACGGACCAGACUCCUACGGGCGGCAACAGGGGGGAAUCUUGCACAAUGGGCGGGAGCCUGAUGCAGCAACUCCGCGGGCGGGAAGACGGCCUUCGGGUUGUAAACCGCUUUCGACUGUGACGAAGCGGGAGUGACGGUAAUUGGUAAAAAAGCAACGGCUAACUACGUG
rnacentral:rRNA from 1 species